rfam:Cavia porcellus supercont2_9 genomic scaffold, whole genome shotgun sequence.
GGGGAUUUAGCUCAGCGGCAUAAGCGCCUGCCUUGCAAGCAGGCAGUCUUGAGUUUGAUCCCCG